rnacentral:rRNA from 1 species
GUGGGGAAUAUUGGACAAUGGGCGCAAGCCUGAUCCAGCCAUGCCGCGUGAGUGAUGAAGGCCCUAGGGUUGUAAAGCUCUUUCGCAGGUGAAGAUAAUGACGGUAACCUGAGAAGAAGCCCCGGCUAACUUCGUGCCAGCAGCCGCGGUAAUACGAAGGGGGCUAGCGUUGUUCGGAAUUACUGGGCGUAAAGCGCACGUAGGCGGAUACUUAAGUUAGGGGUGAAAUCCCAGGGCUCAACCCUGGAACUGCCUUUAAUACUGGGUAUCUCGAGUCCGAGAGAGGUGAGUGGAAUUCCGAGUGUAGAGGUGAAAUUCGUAGAUAUUCGGAGGAACACCAGUGGCGAAGGCGGCUCACUGGCUCGGUACUGACGCUGAGGUGCGAAAGCGUGGGGAGCAAACAGGAUUAGAAACCCCAGUAGUCC